rnacentral:lncRNA from 1 species
AAAAAGCUCUUUGCCCACCACCUUUGAACAAGGAAAUGCUCUUUUUAAUCGUUGUUGAGCACGCAUGUUUAAGUUUCAAGUUUGGGUGCGAAUGCAUUUUUGUUUCGUGUUUAUGUUUGUGUUUUGGAAUAAAUAGUCAUAGCGACUUAUAUGUAAUUAGUCGUUGUGAUGUCGAAAAAAAAAUUCCAGAAAAAAAAAGGGAAAGAAAAUCAGAAAAGAAAUAGAAAAAAAGAAAAAAAAAAAAGGAAGAGAGAAUAAAUAAACAGCAGCCAAAAAAAAAAGGGGGAAAAAUAGAGGAAAAGGCUGCAAUGUUAUCUUUUGUUUUGUGAAGUUGCAUUUGUUGCCAUCUAAGCGCAUGUUUAAGUUUCAAGUUUGGGUGCGAAUGCAUUUUUGUUUCGUGUUUAUGUUUGUGUUUUGGAAUAAAUAGUCAUAGCGACUUAUAUGUAAUUAGUCGUUGUGAUGUCGAAAAAAAAAAUUCCAGAAAAAAAA